GAUGAACGCUGGCGGCGUGCCUAAUACAUGCAAGUCGAGCGAACGGACGAGAAGCUUGCUUCUCUGAUGUUAGCGGCGGACGGGUGAGUAACACGUGGAUAACCUACCUAUAAGACUGGGAUAACUUCGGGAAACCGGAGCUAAUACCGGAUAAUAUUUUGAACCGCAUGGUUCAAAAGUGAAAGACGGUCUUGCUGUCACUUAUAGAUGGAUCCGCGCUGCAUUAGCUAGUUGGUAAGGUAACGGCUUACCAAGGCAACGAUGCAUAGCCGACCUGAGAGGAUGAUCGGCCACACUGGAACUGAGACACGGUCCAGACUACUACGGGAGGCCGCAGUAGGGAAUCUUCCGCAAUGGGCGAAAGCCUGACGGAGCAACGCCGCGUGAGUGAUGAAGGUCUUCGGAUCGUAAAACCCUGUUAUUAGGGAAGAACAUAUGUGUAAGUAACUGUGCACAUCUUGACGGUACCUAAUCAGAAAGCCACGGCUAACUACGUG
rnacentral:rRNA from 1 species